GGUGACCUGCGGAGGGAUCAUUACACAACAAAAUAUGAAGGCCUGGCUUCGCGGCCGGCUGAAAUAUUUUUUUCACCCAUGUCUUUUGCGCACUUGUUGUUUCCUGGGCGGGUUCGCCCGCCACCAGGACCAAACCAUAAACCUUUUUUUUAUGCAGUUGCAAUCAGCGUCAGUAAAAACAAUGUAAUUAUUACAACUUUCAACAACGGAUCUCUUGGUUCUGGCAUCGAUGAAGAACGCAGCGAAAUGCGAUACGUAGUGUGAAUUGCAGAAUUCAGUGAAUCAUCGAAUCUUUGAACGCACAUUGCGCCCUUUGGUAUUCCAAAGGGCAUGCCUGUUCGAGCGUCAUUUGUACCUUCAAGCUUUGCUUGGUGUUGGGCGUUUUUUGUCUCCCUCUUUCUGGGAGACUCGCCUUAAAACGAUUGGCAGCCGGCCUACUGGUUUCGGAGCGCAGCACAUAUUUUGCGCUUUGUAUCAGGAGAAAAGGACGGUAAUCCAUCAAGACUCUACAUUUUUAACUUUUGACCUCGGAUCAGGUAGGGAUACCCGCUGAACUUAAGCAUAUCAAUAAGCGGAGGAAAAGAAACCAACAGGGAUUGCCCUAGUAACGGCGAGUGAAGCGGCAACAGCUCAAAUUUGAAAUCUGGCUCUUUCAGAGUCCGAGUUGUAAUUUGCAGAGGGCGCUUUGGCUUUGGCAGCGGUCCAAGUUCCUUGGAACAGGACGUCACAGAGGGUGAGAAUCCCGUACGUGGUCGCUAGCUAUUGCCGUGUAAAGCCC
rnacentral:rRNA from 1 species